UGGCUCAGAUGGUAAAGGUUCUGCCUGAAAUGCAGGAGACCUGGGUUCUAAUCCCAG
rnacentral:tRNA from 1 species